rnacentral:rRNA from 1 species
AGCGAACGCUGGCGGCAGGCCUAACACAUGCAAGUCGAACGAACUCUUCGGAGUUAGUGGCGGACGGGUGAGUAACACGUGGGAACGUGCCUUUUGGUUCGGAAUAACUCAGGGAAACUUGUGCUAAUACCGAAUGUGCCCUUCGGGGGAAAGAUUUAUCGCCAUUAGAGCGGCCCGCGUCUGAUUAGCUAGUUGGUGAGGUAACGGCUCACCAAGGCGACGAUCAGUAGCUGGUCUGAGAGGAUGACCAGCCACACUGGGACUGAGACACGGCCCAGACUCCUACGGGAGGCAGCAGUGGGGAAUCUUGCGCAAUGGGCGAAAGCCUGACGCAGCCAUGACGCGUGAAUGAUGAAGGUCUUAGGAUUGUAAAAUUCUUUCACCGGGGACGAUAAUGACGGUACCCGGAGAAGAAGCCCCGGCUAACUUCGUG